rnacentral:rRNA from 1 species
CCUACGGGUGGCAGCAGUGAGGAAUAUUGGUCAAUGGACGAGAGUCUGAACCAGCCAAGUAGCGUGAAGGAUGACUGCCCUAUGGGUUGUAAACUUCUUUUAUAAAGGAAUAAAACGAGGCACGUGUGCCUUUUUGCAUGUACUUUAUGAAUAAGGAUCGGCUAACUCCGUGCCAGCAGCCGCGGUAAUACGGAGGAUCCGAGCGUUAUCCGGAUUUAUUGGGUUUAAAGGGUGCGUAGGCGGUCCGUUAAGUCAGCGGUAAAAUUGCGGGGCUCAACCCCGUCGAGCCGUUGAAACUGCAUCCCUUGAGUGCGCGAGAAGUAUGCGGAAUGCGUGGUGUAGCGGUGAAAUGCAUAGAUAUCACGCAGAACUCCGAUUGCGAAGGCAGCAUACCGGCGCGCAACUGACGCUCAUGCACGAAAGCGUGGGUAUCGAACAGGAUUAGAUACCCUUGUAGUC